UUAUGUCCCCCACUAUAGUAGUGGGGGACAUAUUGUUUUUGCCCUGUCUGUUGGUCUGUCUGUUGGUCUGUCUGUUUGCGCCAACUUUAACAUUUUGCAAUAACUUUUGCUAUAUUGAAGAUAGCAACUUCAUAUUUGGCAUGCAUGUGUAUCUCAUGAAGCUGCACAUUUUGAGUGGUGAAAGGUCAAGGUCAUCCUUCAAGGUCAGAGGUCAAAUAAAUGUGGCCCUAAUCGCUUAUUUUAUAAAUACUUUUGCAAUAUUGAAGAUAGCAACUUGAUAUUUGGCAUGCAUGUGCAUGUCAUGGAGCUGCACAUUUUGAGUGGUGAAAGGUCAAGGUCAAGGUCAUCCUUCAAGGUCAGAGAUCAAAUAUAUGUGGCCCAAAUCCCUUAUUUUAUGAAUACUUUUGCAAUAUUGAAGAUAGCAACUUGAUAUUUGGCAUGCAUGUGUAUAUCAUGGAGCUGCACAUUUUGAGUGGUGAAAGGUCAAGGUCAUCCUUCAAGGUCAGAGGUCAAUUAUAUGUGGCCAAAAUCGCUCAUUUUAUAAAUACUUUUGCAAUAUUGAAGAUAGCAACUUGAUAUUUGGCAUACAUGUGCAUCUCAUGGAGCUGCACAUUUUGAGUGGUGAAAGGUCAAGGUCAUCCUUCAAGGUCAGAGGUCAAAUAUAUGUGGCCCAAAUCGCUUAUUUUAUGAAUACUUUUGCAAUAUUGAAGAUAGCAACUUGAUAUUUGGCAUGCAUGUGUAUCUCAUGGAGCUGCACAUUUUAAGAGGUGAAAGGUCAAGGUCAUCCUUCACAAGGUCAAGGUCAUCCUAGAAUGUCAAACAUC